ACAGAGGUGGCAAGCGUUGUUCGGAAUUACUGGGCGUAAAGGGCGCGUAGGCGGCCAUCUAAGUCAGACGUGAAAUCCCCCGGCUUAACCUGGGAACUGCGUCUGAUACUGGGAGGCUAGAGUUUGGGAGAGGGAUGUAGAAUUCCAGGUGUAGCGGUGAAAUGCGUAGAUAUCUGGAGGAAUACCGGUGGCGAAGGCGGCAUCCUGGACCAAUACUGACGCUGAGGCGCGAAAGCUAGGGGAGCAAACGGGAUUAGAUACCCCGGUAGUCCUAGCCCUAAACGAUGAAUACUUGGUGUGGCGGGUAUCGAUCCCUGCCGUGCCGAAGCUAACGCAUUAAGUAUUCCGCCUGGGGAGUACGGUCGCAAGGCUG
rnacentral:rRNA from 1 species